GCCGAAGUGGCGGAAUGGCAGACGCGCCAGCUUCAGGAGCUGGUUCCCUCACGGGAGUGGAGGUUCAAGUCCUCUCUUCGGCA
rnacentral:tRNA from 1 species